UGAGUAAGAAAGGCGACCGCGCCCGCUAUUGCGGGUGAGGAAAGUCCGAGCACCACAGGGCAGAGUGCCGGGUAACACCCGGCGGAGGCGACUCCAGGGAAAGUGCAACAGAAAUAAACCGCCCGGAAACGGGUAAGGAUGGAAAGGCGAGGUAAGAGC
rnacentral:RNase_P_RNA from 1 species